AUGAUUAUAAAGUUAGUUUUACUAGAGAUGGUAAGAGAAAAAGUAGUGAGAUAUGAGAAUCUAAAUCAUUGUAAAAAAAGGUUUGUGUUCCCGUCACUGUGUGCUGUUGUUCACAUAGCUCCUGAACUUAUAUCUCAUCAUUUAGAAUUGGGACAUGAAGAUUCAAGAGCUUACUUUCAGGAAACGAAAUAG